GAGCAUGGCAUUAGCCAAUGCCAGACUGUCUCCAGCUUUUUGUACUAGGCCUCCUCUCCUGGGGUUAUUAUAUUUAAAAUCUGAUUCUUCUCCAGCUGACCCUUUACUCCAAAAGAUUGCCUUAACUGUGGCAUGGACAAAUCAUAAUAAGAGCUAUAUUUCAGCAAAAUCAUGAUCUCCUUCUCUGGGUCUCUUCACUGAUGGUCUCUGCAACUCAUACAAUCAUCUUCUGGAAAGGAGAUUUAUUAAAAUGACUUACAGUCUGUGGUCCAGCUAUUCUAACAAGGACUGGCUAUGAACAGUAAGACCAAGAAUCUACAAGCUGCUCAGUACACAAGGCUGGAUGUCUCAGCUAAUCUUCAGUAUAUGCUGGAAUCCUGAAGAGAUUGCCUAUGCCCGUAUAGAAGGGAAUAUGAGAGUCUUCGAAGCAUAUGCACACGAACUGCCAAAAUACGGCGUGAAAGUUGGCCUGACAAAUUAUGCUGCAG
rnacentral:lncRNA from 1 species